rnacentral:misc_RNA from 1 species
CUGAAAGAUAAUCGUCAAAAGAUUUUCACAUUUUCAUUUUAUACUACCGCAUAUUCUCAUCUUUUGUUUCAGAAUUUCUCAUAAAUGCACAAACAUCCGUAUUCUCGUAAUAAAUAUUACUAAUAAAAAUAAUUUGCAGCAUGCGUACGUCUGUUCCAUUGCAACCAUCACGACCAGGUAGACCAGGAGCUCCGGGCGGGCCUUGUACUCCAGGAACACCACUUAUACCCGAGAAUCCAGGAAAUCCUUUUUGACCUUUGGGUCCCUGUGGCCCCAUUAGACCUGGCGGUCCCUGUACACGCCGACCCGGUACAGUUUCGUUGUGGCUUGUAUCCUGGAACUGGCACAACCGUGUAACUGCUCGGAUAAUUUUCCGAGUCUCCGGCCGCGCCAUAUCCACCACGUUGCCCUGAAGAGUAUCCGCGUUGUCCGUAAGGAUCUCCGCGUCCAUAAUCGUCUCUGGAUCCAUAAUUUCUAUCGUAGCCAUCGCCAGAAGAAUCUCUGGACCUUUGUUCUCCACCGGCCUCUCCUCUUCCGUAAGGGUCUUCGUAACCUCCAGAUCUUCCGUAAGGAUCGCCAGCUUCUUGAUUGUAAGGAUCCAACGGGGUUUGAUCUUGACCUUGGUUGUAAGAUUCUUGAUCAAAGCCUCCUGAGAGGAGAAGAUUACUCGCGUUAAACGAAUCGGAUAGACGAUCUAUGAGAUGGAAAGAUGGGAAUGAAAUCGUACGAAUUGGGACGCUGGUUUUCGUGUUUAACGCCAUGACAACAAGUAUCAUCUUAAAAAUAAACUAUAAUCGUUACAGAGAAGGUAUAUGCAAAUUUAUAUUUUUCAAAUGUAGGCAGAAAUGUUAUUUCGUAGAAUGAAAUCCCUAGAUAAAUACGACGAUAU